CGGUGCUGGAAGGUUAAUUGAUGGGGUUAUCCGUAAGGAGAAGCUCUUGAUCGAAGCCCCAGUAAACGGCGGCCGUAACUAUAACGGUCCUAAGGUAGCGAAAUUCCUUGUCGGGUAAGUUCCGACCUGCACGAAUGGCGUAAUGAUGGCCAGGCUGUCUCCACCCGAGACUCAGUGAAAUUGAACUCGCUGUGAAGAUGCAGUGUACCCGCGGCAAGACGGAAAGACCCCGUGAACCUUUACUAUAGCUUGACACUGAACAUUGAGCCUUGAUGUGUAGGAUAGGUGGGAGGCUUUGAAGUGUGGACGCCAGUCUGCAUGGAGCCAACCUUGAAAUACCACCCUUUAAUGUUUGAUGUUCUAACGUUGCCCCGUUAUCCGGGGUGCGGACAGUGUCUGGUGGGUAGUUUGACUGGGGCGGUCUCCUCCCAAAGAGUAACGGAGGAGCACGAAGGUUGGCUAAGCAUGGUCGGACAUCAUGCGGUUAGUGCAAAGGCAUAAGCCAGCUUGACUGCGAGAGUGACGGCUCGAGCAGGUACGAAAGUAGGUCUUAGUGAUCCGGUGGUUCUGAAUGGAAGGGCCAUCGCUCAACGGAUAAAAGGUACUCCGGGGAUAACAGGCUGAUACCGCCCAAGAGUUCAUAUCGACGGCGGUGUUUGGCACCUCGAUGUCGGCUCAUCACAUCCUGGGGCUGAAGUAGGUCCCAAGGGUACGGCUGUUCGCCGUUUAAAGUGGUACGCGAGCUGGGUUUAGAACGUCGUGAGACAGUUCGGUCCCUAUCUGCCGUGGGCGUUGGAAGAUUGAAAGGGGCUGCUCCUAGUACGAGAGGACCGGAGUGGACGCACCACUGGUGUUCGGGUUGUCAUGCCAAUGGCAUUGCCCGGUAGCUAAGUGCGGAAGAGAUAACCGCUGAAAGCAUCUAAGCGGGAAACUUGCCUUGA
rnacentral:rRNA from 1 species